UCCUGUAAGAGCACGUGGAUGAAGGUGCCCCUGUUUUCCAUCUGCCUGGAGGAAAAUGACAGAAAACAGCAUUAGGCUGAAGCCAGAGGAGGAAGUGAGUAAGCAUGCCACUGCAACCACUUGGAAUAAAUCAUUUCUAUGCUAAUCACGACUGGAAAUCACAGCCUCAGAACACUGCACUGAAGUCCAAGCAGGAGUCCCAACAGAGGAAAGCUGGAAUGCUUUAUUCUCUGUGGAGUUUUUCAUGCAUAAGCAAGUAAAAGGAGAGACUGGAAAAUACUUUAGAAUAUUUCAACAUGUCAAAUGAAAUCAUUCUACUCUACCCUCCUGCUCCCUGUAUGCCUGUUUAUGCUGAAGAGCAGUAAGACUAGGAAGUACACCAAUAAACGCCUUCUACUAAUUCA